rnacentral:lncRNA from 1 species
GACACCCUGGACGUUUGGGAACUGCUGCCCCAUUAUUGGUCACACUGGAAAUGAUCCAGCCCUAGUCUUGGUCUAUAACUGAUGGAGAUUUCUAGGCGAAAUCAUUUGUCCCUGGCCUCAGCAACCAGCUCUAGGGGAUCUCAGUGCCUGGCUCUUCCUUGGACUGAAUGAUGGAGGCAGCAUUGCUUUACUUUACCGGCAGACAAGACCAG